AGGCCCCUUCUUGAUCAUCGCUGGUACGGAUGAGAGCGGCAGUGGGCAUUUGGAAAGCACCUGGGGCCGCGCCCGGGCGCAGUGCCCCCAUGUGGCCUCCCACCCCGGGCGGGCAGGACGAUUCCUGCCCAUCUGGAAGACCAGGAACCUGCGCGUUCACAGGGUUCGGAAGCCCGGGCUGCGCCUUCCCGCGGGGCCGGCUGCCGGGCUGGGGGCUCUUCCCGCCUCUGCAUGCACAGAGCCCGCGGUGCACGAACCUGCUCCCCGCCAGCCCCGCGGACUGGCAGGGCCGCUCUGGAGUCACCCGCGCCCGCUCCGCAGUGCGCAAACUCACUUCGCAGCGGGCUCUCCCGGGGCCAGCCCUUCCCUCCUGGGCGGGCAUUUUCACCUCCAGGUACAAGGGGGUGGUCCCCAGAGGAGGACUCAGGGGCUUAAGGAGAAGCUGAGGCCCGGUCCUCUGGCCUCAACGACUGCACAUUCUCGCCGCCUGCUUCACUUCUUAGAGCCUUGGAGGUGAAUUGGUCUCACCACCUCACCCCACCCCCAGGAGAUAGAACCUUCUAGUAAAAAUGAGAAAAUCCGGCCGGGCGCGGCGGCUCACGCCUGUAAUCCCAGCACUUUGGGAGGCUGAGGCGAGUGGAUCACCUGAGGUCGGGAUCACCUGAGGC
rnacentral:lncRNA from 1 species